GAUGAACGCUAGCGAUAGGCCUAACACAUGCAAGUCGAGGGGCAUCACAUGAAGUAGCAAUACGGAUGGUGGCGACCGGCGCACGGGUGAGUAACACGUAUGCAACCUGCCUUCAACAAGGGGAUAACCCGUUGAAAGACGGACUAAUACCCUAUAACACAGGGGUCCCGCAUGGGAAUAUUUGUUAAAGGACAACCGGUUGAAGAUGGGCAUGCGUUCCAUUAGCUAGUUGGCGGGGUAACGGCCCACCAAGGCAACGAUGGAUAGGGGAACUGAGAGGUUUAUCCCCCACACUGGUACUGAGACACGGACCAGACUCCUACGGGAGGCAGCAGUGAGGAAUAUUGGUCAAUGGACGCAAGUCUGAACCAGCCACGUCGCGUGAGUGAUGAAGGCCUUAGGGUUGUAAACUUCUUUAUACGGGAAUAAAGUGCCCCACGCGUGGGGUUUUGCAUGUACCGUAUGAAUAAGGAUCGGCUAACUCCGUGCCAGCAGCCGCGGU
rnacentral:rRNA from 1 species